rnacentral:SRP_RNA from 1 species
GCCGGGCAUGGUGGCUCAUGCCUGUAAUCCCAGCACUUUGGGAGGCUGACGCGGGUGGAUCACUGGAGGUCAGGAGUUCAAGACCAGCCUGGCCAACAUGGUGAAACCCCGUGUCUA